UUGGGUCUCAAAAUUCUCAAUUUACAAGCAUAGCCCAGAGUGAGAGGGAGUAAACAAUACUCCUGCACAAAAUAUAGCUUGUAAAUUGAGAAUUUUGAGACCCAAUGCCAAAAAUGCCAUCGAAGGAAGAACAUAGGAGAUCAUGAUGGAUAAACAUGGGCCAAUUCUCCAAAGAUUUUGGUAUAUGUACAUGUGGAUUUGGUGACAUACUUGAAAUUUGCUUAAUUCUGCCUUUUCUCUUGAAUCUUUUUUACCAGCGCUAAUAGGAGGCUAAUGCCAAUUUGAUUUCUCCUUCGUCUGGUACAAAACUCACUCGCUUCUUACGUGGCUUAAGAUUCUCUCUUAUGCUACCAAGUUCUGGCCUCCAUAGCGCUUGCCGUCGGUUACCAUCGCGGCCGUUAACUUCGCCGGAAUUUUCCAUGAAAAGAUCAACAAUCUUUUCAGCCACCUCUACUUCAUCUUUGCUCUCUUCCACCAGUUUUUCAACUUGAGCCUUAGGAAGCCUCAUUUUCACCCGAACCGGCGUAGGCCCAUCAGGAACUUGAGUAGACAAUGAUCUAGCAAUGGAAAGGUCAGAAACAGAUUUCCGAGACAGCAUCAGGCACUCAAGCCUGUCCUUAGCACUCAUGUAAAUUCCUGAGCGUACCCUUCUGGUGGCCCUGCUGGGCUCUUUCUCUUCAGGAACCUUUGGCAAUUCUACCAGGAAGUAUAUUUUCUUCGGCUUCAGCUCCUGUUCAGACUCCAAUGGUUUAGCCCGGAUACCAAAAUGCUUAACAGCCUCCGAAUCCAGCAGUACGUGUCCUGGAUAGUCCUUGACAACAUCCCUUGCCCUCGCCGGAGUCUUUAACUUGAA
rnacentral:misc_RNA from 1 species